GAUGGGUGGUCAUAGCCGAUGGCAGGAGGAUGUGGCGACCCUGCCUGGUUGAAUUCUAUUGGUUGUGUGAUCUUACUAUAUUUGAAAAUAGCCCGCGCUUUGCUUUAUAUGGACCCCGCUUUUUGCUAAGUUUGAAAUGAUUGGAUCUUGUGUUUGCUAUAGCCUGUUAUUGGAUGUAGGUUGAUAAGGUGAUGUGCUCCCUCUCCCUGAGUGUAGUCUGAAUUCCUAUAAAUUGUAUGGUUUGAGCCCUGUUCAGGGUCGAGUUUGGUAGACUAACACCAGUCACCAUCUCGGCCCGGAUUGCAAUUCGUCAAUAAACAUCUUUGCUUCCUUACAGUGGAUGGUGGUUUGAUUUAUGCUCGCUAACAUUUGGAGGCUCCAGCGAGAUCCCUCAGACGGGUAUUCCUGAGGACACCCCAUCCUGGGUCCGGACCCUCGGAGGCCUUGGAAGUCCUGCCCGGCGCCGCCUAUAUUGCAGGACAAUUAGAAUGCUGUGCUACAAGCCUUUGGGAAGGACCCUGUCACCUGCUGCCUGCUCCACAAGGCACACCCAGUGAGAAAGACCUUAUAUUGUGAUCCUGAGUACACCAACUGCUGCAAAGGUUGCCGGAAAGUGCCACUAGAUUCAUCACACUCCUUUGAAGAGGACAGUUGCUGAUACCACUGACCCAAAAGAAAAAAAAGAUGAAGAUGAAUCAAAGAUUUGAUUCUCGGCUAAGACAAGUGGGGAAUGUAAAAGGCAGUAGCCUUGAAAUUCCCUUUUUAUGCAGUUGUUUGUUAAGUGCUUUUAGUAUGAGUUGCUUGUAGUAUGAGGUGGAAAAUUCCUUGCCCCUUCCCCCUUGAAUAAACAGGACCUAAUCAGUUAAGGCCACCCAUUGUUCGAAGGACCCUGCCUGGGGACAAGCCUUAUCAGGACCUCAUCAGUGAAGGCCACCCAUUGUUUGAAGGACCCUACAUGGGGACAAGUCUUAUCAGGACCUUUGAACAGACUUUGUGGUGUGCUGUCUACCGGAUGGGUGGUCAUAGCCGAUGGCAGGAGGAUGUGCCUGGUUGAAUUCUAUUGGUUGUGUGAUCUUACUAUAUUUGAAACUAGCCCGCGCUUUGCUUUGAAUGGAUCAUGCUUUUGCUAAGUUUGAAAUGAUUGGAUCUUGUGUUUGCUAUAGCCUGUUAUUGGAUGUAGGUUGAUAAGGUGAUGUGCUCCCCCUCCCUGAGUGUAGUCUGAAUUCCUAUAAAUUGUAUGGUUUGAGCCCUGUUCGGGGUCGAGCUUGGUAGACUAACACCAGUCACCAUCUCGGCCCGGAUUGCAAUUCGUCAAUAAACAUCUUUGCUUCC